CCUGCUGCUAGAGGCGGUGCAGGUGUGGCUCCUGUGUCACAUGUGCCUAAGUAUGUAGCAGAGAGGAGAAAUGCUGUGUCUACACUCAGUGUCUGACCUAUGAAAAUCUGAAUGAUUAGUAGCUAACAUU